UACGUAGGGGCCGAGCGUUGUCCGGAGUUAUUGGGCGUAAAGCGCGCGCAGGCGGCUUGGCGCGCCCGACGUGAAAGCCCCCGGCUUAACCGGGGAGAGUCGUCGGGGACGGCCGGGCUUGAGGGCGGGAGAGGGUGGUGGAAUUCCCGGUGUAGUGGUGAAAUGCGUAGAGAUCGGGGGGAACACCCGUGGCGAAGGCGGCCAGCUGGGCCGACCCUGACACUGAGGCGCGAAGGCGUGGGGAGCGAACGGG
rnacentral:rRNA from 1 species